rnacentral:lncRNA from 1 species
UUUAUGACAAACAUGUCUCUCUGCCCUUAUAAGUAUAUAAGAAACAAUAAAGCCAAGCAAUCACACGGUUUCAAAUGUCAAGCAGUAUCUGUGUUCCCUUUUUUACGCCAAUUGCAUACUAUUUUUGUUUCUUCUAUUUCGUCUAAGUUCCUUGCGUAUUUGUACGUUUUUUUUGUUUGUUAUUGUCACUUUUUUUUGCAAUGGAUAACCGGUAUAUUAUUUUU